rnacentral:rRNA from 1 species
UCAAGAAACUUCCACAAUGGGCGAAAGCCUGAUGGAGCGACGUCGCGUGAUGGACGAAGUGCUUCGGCACGUAAACAUCUUUUAUGUGGGAUGAAAUUAUUGACAGUACCACAUGAAUAAGGGGCUCCUAACUCUGUGCCAGCAGGAGCGGUAAUACAGAGGCCCCAAGCGUUAUCCGGAAUCACUGGGCGUAAAGGGUGUCGAGGCGGUUGUAUUAGUCGUUCGUAAAAUCUACGAGCUUAACUUGUAGGCGGCGAACGAAACGGUACGACUUGAGGUUUGGAGAGGUGCGUGGAACUCACGGUGUAGGGGUGAAAUCCGUUGAUAUCGUGGGGAACACCAAAGGCGAAGGCAGCGCACUGGCCAAAAUCUGACGCUCACACACGAAAGCUAGGGUAGCGAAGAGGAUUAGAUACCCCGGUAGUCCCUGAGCGGGCUGGCAAGGCGC